rnacentral:lncRNA from 10 species
CUGGUGUGGCCAGCCACAGCAGGAAGUGCCACAGAAUGGGGCACUUUCCUUACAGUUGUCCCCGGAGGUGUGCAUUUCACCCACAUCAUCUAAUAAUUCUCACCAAAUGCUCCCUGGAAGGAUGCAAGGAAUACUUACCGAAGCCUGAAAUGAAUAAUUUAGGUUUUUACAAAUGCCUGCCCUUCACCUGGAGGAAGUGUGCACAGUACUAAGGUGCAUGGGCUCGGCAGGCUGACUGCCUGGACUCAAAUGCCAGCUUAGCCACUCCCUGGCCCAGUAACCAGCCUGGGCCUCAGUUUCUCCAUUAAUAAAAAGAAGCAAAUACUUGUAGUACCAAGAUCACAGGGCUAAGGUAAGGUCUAAGGCAAAUUAUCCUGGAUUAUUCUGGCGGGACUAACAUAAUCAUCUGAGUUCUUAAAAGCAGAAAAGGAAGUGAGAGCGAUGUGAAGCAUAAGAAUGCAGUCUGCCAUUGCUGAGUUGAAAAUGGAGCGGCCACGUGGAAAACACAAGAAGGCAAUCAAUUCUGCCAACAACCAGGAGCUUGGAAGGGGAGCCUGAGUCCUGGAUAAGGACUGCAGCCUCAGCUGCUUAACCGAAUUUCAACCUGUGAG